GGAAUCGUCCUCUUCUCUCAUGUAACUAGUGAUAGGACUAGAGGGAACACUAGUCCUCAAGUUGCACUAGGGGAGCAAGUAGUAAGAACUGCUGGUGACAGGGGAUGGUUGGAAUGGAUGAUCUUGUAGGUCUUUUCCAACUUUGGUGAUUCUAUGAUUCUACGAAAAUAGUAAAAAAAGAAAUUUUCAUGCUCGACUGGCUACUUCACUGCUCCCCAAGACGACUGCCUUCCCACUCAGGUACAACCCCUACAGUACUUCAUGGGAAGAGCACAAAUGGUGUUGUUUGACACAGACAUGUUUUGUAACGAACUUUGGCCAAGGGACAGAGGAGUGCUUGCAGACUCUUUUUAGCAUUACAUUCUUCUACUUCCAUUACUAGUAGUAAAAGAAGCUAUGAAAGAGGCAAGUUGUUUAAUGUCUUUUGUCAAAAGGGCUGAAUGUGUUAUAACAUUGCAACAGCUAGUCAAGAGGUGACACGGAAAUUUAAAACUACUCUAAGCAUAGAGAUAAAAAAAAAAAAGGCAUAACAAAAGAAUAGUAAUAUCAUCAUAUCUAGCAGAAAUGCUAAGUUACAGCUUGAACCAGUGAUUGAACACCUGGUGGGAAGGCAGGGCCAACCCAGGGGAGCUCAGGUGCAUGCAAUGUUCCUGAGUAAGCAGAGGGGGUGGAGCCAGAUCCAGUCCUUCCCAGACCUCAUUUAAGAGUUGGCAGUGGAGGUAAAGGUGGCUUGCUGGAGAUUUCUACCUUCCUGUAGGCUUCUAAAGGAGGUACCAACAAUGUCUAUGGUCAGAGGGAGCGGUGGCAGUCUCUGCUUAUCUUGCAAGAUGUAACCCAGAGUGAGCAGCACCAAAGCCAUUGGCAGUACUGACUGUCAGACAGGAAGUGUGAUGUACUCAGUCACUGAAGUUACUCAAACCUGAAGAAUCCUCACAACGUUUCUGGUUAAAAGCCAUCCUUAAGGAACACCUGAUCUGCAAGAACUGAACAUUAACUGGACAGCAUACAGAAGUUACAAAGAACUGAAACACGAUAUUUUCUACCUUUUUGCCUGAGCGCAUCAAACAGAGAAAGACAGAGAAGGAAAUUCCUUUAUUUGCAUCUGACAGG